rnacentral:tmRNA from 1 species
GGGGGCGAAUGGUCUCGACGGGCCCGGUCGUGGUCCUGUGGUUGCAUGCCGAGGUUCCCGCAGCCUCGUAAAAAGGCGGGAACAAACAACUGCCGCCUAAUAUCGGCAACCUGCGGCCCUUCUAGUCGGGCCGCACGUCCGCUCCGGUCCUGUCCGGCGGCCGGAGGCCGGGCGCAAGAAGCCGGGCUGGCCCGACCCUCCGCGCUCUCCGGGGGCGACGGCGAGACUUAAUGAGAGCUGCCGAGGCAGGUGCCGUCCGGGGCGCCUGCCGAGGGAGAAACAAGCCGGUCUAAGCAUGUAGCGGCCGCAGGAUCCCCGGGAACGGACGCGGGUUCGAUACCCGCCGCCUCCACCA